GUGGUCACUAUGGCAGCACAGACUAAGACAGAAGCAAAGCAGAGAAGACUGGCAUGUGCCCUGUGCACGGAUGACACACGAAGUGUUGAAGCUGUCCAUUCUAAA
ensembl:snRNA U6 U6 spliceosomal RNA